rnacentral:ncRNA from 1 species
UCAAGGGGUGCCGUUUCGAACCGGAUCGAGCGACUGAGAACAAACCCGUUGAACCUGAUCUGGGUUAUACCAGCGUAGGGAGACA